GGAUCCUCUGGGAGAAAUGAGAAUUGAUGGUACUCCAGCAAGAAGUUAUAUGUGCAAGGAAUACAGAAUUAUACACGGUUAAAAAAAAUACAGAAUCAACUUUGGAAGAAGAGGUCUGUGCCUGUUCUUCUCUACACUGCCAACCGCCCCUCUGCGUGGUCCUCACUCUCCCUGGUCAUCUGCCUGCCUCAUUAUAGUAUUUCAGGUCCUGUUUGGCUCUGCUCCUGGCCUGUAUAUGUAAAACAGCC